rnacentral:rRNA from 1 species
AGUUAGCGGCGGACGGGUGAGUAACACGUGGGUAACCUGCCCAUAAGACUGGGAUAACUCCGGGAAACCGGGGCUAAUACCGGAUAACAUUUUGAACUGCAUGGUUCGAAAUUGAAAGGCGGCUUCGGCUGUCACUUAUGGAUGGACCCGCGUCGCAUUAGCUAGUUGGUGAGGUAACGGCUCACCAAGGCAACGAUGCGUAGCCGACCUGAGAGGGUGAUCGGCCACACUGGGACUGAGACACGGCCCAGACUCCUACGGGAGGCAGCAGUAGGGAAUCUUCCGCAAUGGACGAAAGUCUGACGGAGCAACGCCGCGUGAGUGAUGAAGGCUUUCGGGUCGUAAAACUCUGUUGUUAGGGAAGAACAAGUGCUAGUUGAAUAAGCUGGCACCUUGACGGUACCUAACCAGAAAGCCACGGCUAACUACGUGCCAGCAGCCGCGGUAAUACGUAGGUGGCAAGCGUUAUCCGGAAUUAUUGGGCGUAAAGCGCGCGCAGGUGGUUUCUUAAGUCUGAUGUGAAAGCCCACGGCUCAACCGUGGAGGGUCAUUG